rnacentral:rRNA from 1 species
GACGCAGGUGGCCUAUUAAGUCGGAUGUAAAAUCUCCCGGCUCAACUGGGAGGGACCGUCCGAUACUGGGAGGCUGGAGUGCAGCAGAGGGAGGUGGAAUUCCCGGUGUAGUGGUGAAAUACGUAGAUAUCGGGAGGAACACCAGUGGCGAAAGCGGCCUCCUGGGCUGUUACUAACACUGAGGUCCGAAAGCGUGGGGAGCAAACAGGAUCAGAUACCCUGGUAGUCCACGCCCUAAACAAUGGACACUAGGUAUGGGGAGUAUCGACCCUCUCCGUGCCGCAGCUAACGCUUUAAGUGUCCCGCCUGGGGACUACGGCCGCAAGGCUAA